rnacentral:rRNA from 1 species
UACGUAGGGACCAAGCGUUGUUCGGAUUUACUGGGCGUAAAGGGCGCGUAGGCGGACAGUUAAGUUGGGGGUGAAAGCCCGGGGCUCAACCUCGGAAUUGCCUUCAAUACUGGCUGUCUUGAGUGUGAGAGAGGUGUGUGGAACUCCGAGUGUAGAGGUGAAAUGCGUAGAGAUCAGGAGGAACACCCGUGGCGAAGGCGGCCCGCUGGGUCGACCCUGACGCUGAGGCGCGAAAGCGUGGGGAGCGAACGGG